UGUAUGUAUGUGUUUAUUUGAGGCUUAUUCUUUUUCGAUUACAUUUGAAUACAUUUAUCGAUAACUUAACAUAUAUUUAGAACUAUUAUUGUCUCGUUCUAACACACGAUGAGUACAGGUACUUGGCUACAUGCUUAACAAUGUGAAGAGUAUAUGAAUGGAAUACAAAACAAAAUGUCAAAAAUAAAAAAAGGCUUGCUCACGGCCUUUACUAUUGCUAACAGAGCUUAAGAGAGUCUGUUAAAAAAAAUAAAUACUUAGAACUAAAUAACAUAUAAAUCGAGAUAACAAUUUCUGUUAAAGGCAAUAACAAACAGAGGGUAAUGGAUGAACCAAUUAAUGAAUGAAUGUCAAAAUGUAAAUAUCACAGAUUUGUAGAUGUAUUGGUAUAAACUAACGAACGUUCAUACUAUAGAAGGCAGAAUGCUAACAUGUUUUGAUUUCUUAUUUCUUUUGUUAACUUGAUUUGUGCUAUGCACGUUGUUAUUUUUUUUUUGGAAAGCAAUAGUAUUGCUUGUUAAAAAAAGUGUUAAUAUUAAAAAAAAUAAAUAAAUAAAUUGGUGUGGAUUUUUUGUAAAAUUCUGGUGUACUGUGACGGGCUGAUUCGUUGUCAUCAACUUGGGUCAUUUUCGUGGGUGGCCAGGCGUCCGACAAAUAAUUUCUGGAGCUUGAGCGCGUAUGUGCAUAAAGGUUCAAUGCCGGAUAUAUCAUAAAUAAUUCUACGUUCGUAAAUUUCCAAUUCUUUGGCUACUGUCGGGGAGAUAGUGAACCAUAUUGGAAAACCGUAAGUCAACACGGGUCUGAUAGCAACCUUAUAAA